rnacentral:ncRNA from 1 species
CAUCAUUUUGGUGCUGUCUACAAGAGACAGAUAAUAGGGAAGACGGUGCAACUCCGUCGCAGCCCCGCUACUGUAAGAGUUACUUGGCAAACAAAAUACCACUGGUCAGCAGACCGGGAAGGUGUUUGCUGAAGGCUGAUACUCAAGCCAGGAAACCUGCCAAAAUCUAA